AACAUACUCCCUUCGUCCAGAAAUAUUUAUCGAAGAAAUUGAUGUAUCAAAAUAUAUUUUAGUUCUAGAUACGUUCAUUUUUAUCCAUUUCUCUCACAAGUAUUUUCAGACGAAGGGAGUAGUUA
rfam:Triticum aestivum genome assembly, contig: Triticum_aestivum_CS42_TGACv1_scaffold_031371_1BL